UACGUAGGGUGCAAGCGUUGUCCGGAAUUAUUGGGCGUAAAGGGCUCGUAGGCGGUCCGUCACGUCGGGAGUGAAAACUUGGGGCUUAACCCCAAGCCUGCUUCCGAUACGGGCGGACUAGAGGUAGGCAGGGGAGAACGGAAUUCCUGGUGUAGCGGUGAAAUGCGCAGAUAUCAGGAGGAACACCUGAGGUGAAGACGGGUUGCUGGGCUGAUACUGACGCUGAGGCGCGAAAGCUAGGGUAGCAAACGGG
rnacentral:rRNA from 1 species